UGUGCGAAUAACAAAAAGAGAGAAGUGGGGUUUAACAUCCACUCGACACAAACUAGGUCACUUCGGGACUAAACAUGGUUCAUUUUUAUUUCAAUAACUCGCCUGCACGUAGGGGUCUUUAGCAGUGUGAGGAACCGGGGGACCCGGAGACAUACCACUAGGUUGGACAGGCGACUCUACAACUUGUCAGUACAACUGGGGAAUUGAAACCACGCCAGAUGACUCAAUGACAGACCUUAUGAUACACCGCGCACGUGCUACCCCCCCCCCCCCCCGCAAUAACUAAAAGGAUAUAAACCUAUCUUUACAGUUUCAUCAAAAUCGGAUAAAAAUUGUAACUACUGGAGUGUCCACAAGCUAAAAACGUGAUUUGUCGUUCAAUCAUUGGUCAUAAUCCAUGAAGCUAUGGCCCGAUACAUGCCCUGAUAGAUCGGGUAUAAACCUAUAUUUCAAUUUUUGUCAAAAUCGGAUUAAAAUUGUGAACAGUAGAGUGUCAACAUACACAGUGAGAACGGAUGGACAGAAAGGCGGGGGCGGCGACAAUAUCCGGCCACAUGAAAAUGUGAGCGUAUAAAAAUACAUUUAGGUCUACGUGUGUUGGUGAAUGUGUAAAAAUGAAAUGUUUUGAUCUCUUGAACAGUAAUAUUUAAAAUACAUGAAUAAAUUAUAACUAAUGAAUAAAAACCAGGACAUUUCUUAUUAUAUGUUUUAUUGAAUUGGUAUUGAAACUAAAAACAGAUUAACACCUCGUGUGAGGACAUUUCUUUCAAAUAUUGUGAAAGGGUUGGUAAUAGAAUCGAAAUUAUUAUUGUGUUAUUAAACACUGCGUUGUCAAGGGUUACUUCUGAGAGAGAAAUGGGGUUUAACGUCCACUCGACACAAUCUAGGUCAUUUCGGGACUAACAUAUGGUUUAAUUUAUUUUAAUAAUUCGCUUGCGCGUAGGGGUCUUUAGCAGUGGGAGGAAACCGGAGGACCCGGAGAAAACCCACGAGGUUCGACAUGCGACCCUAUUCCUUGUCACGUACAACCGGGGAUUCGAAACCACGCCAGUUGACUCAAUGACAGACUUUAUGAUACAGCGCGCACACGCUAACCAUCCAGCCACCCAAACACGCCGGUGAUAUAAUGGUGGAAGAUGGAUUCAAGACUCGGAACUUCUUACAUGCCAAGCGAGAACAACUGAAGAUUUAAUGGUUUGAACAAGGACAUUCAAGAACAGAUUGGAGAUACAAGUGGAUUCCUAGAUUUGGUUCAUAUGAGAUCAGAGAAUUAGUUUGAUGGUCGAGAGAUAUUUCAGGUUUAAUCUUGUUGAGCAACAUCUCUGAUAACAGACUGGACCAAAGAAGCUUGAAGCUGAUAUCUUCAAUCCUGGACAAGGUUGACUUUGUCAAACCAAGUGAGAUUUCUCCAAUGUCAAGAAGAAGAAGUACCAGCACAUGGUUCAUCACCAGAUAAACUUCAAGGUAUCCAGACAACAAAAUGUGCUAGAUCAAUAAGAUGAGUGUGGCGGACCUUACAAUCGUAAUCCCUGAUCCAGUAAAUUAAGUUCCAGAAAUUGCUAAAGAUUGAAAGUGUGUUCCUGAUUAAAUUUGGGUGUAUAUAAGUGCGGUGGAAUCAUUAUAGUUAUGUUUAUAUAAUGGUAAUAUCUAAUGUGUAUGUGUUUUGCAUUUGAAACGAUCAAUUAUUUCCACAAAUAAUAAAUAUUCCGGGGUGCAGACUUUAAAAAUUGCAGAAACUUUCUUCAUCAUAGUGCUUAUAUGUUAUUAUGUGACUCUUAAUUACCAUUAACUUUUUAAAUUUCAUUUAUCUUUAUAUUCAGUUCCAUUUCUGACUGAAAAUCAUUGCAUUUGGAAUUUUGCAUUCUUAAAACACUUUUUUUUUCAUAAUUAUUGCAAGUGAUAUUUAUGUCUGUGACAACAAUGUAUUAUACAUAAGGCGACAACAAAGGAUUACCUAAGGGACUUUAGCCUGUAUAAUCAUAUAACAGCACAAUUCACUUAAUAUAUUGUGAUACAAAAUUUUAUACAAAUAUUUAAUUAUAAGCAUAUGUUUUUCUUUUAUAUAAUUAUUAAUAAUUUCAUCAAGUAUAUUGUGUAUAUAUAUAUCAUGCGAGGACGCAUGAAUUUUUCAGGAUGGGGGCAUUUAUCACCGAAUAGUGAUACUAAAUUCUACUUCUUUUUCAAAUUUUAUUUUAAGGAUAUACAGAAUUUAUUUCUUAAAGUAUAUAGACAAUAUAGCUAAAAGUAAGGUUAUCAUUUGGUCUUUCUUUACUUUUAGUGUUAAUAUUUUGAUUUAAAGUCUAUAAAAAGUAAUUGCCUAAAAGCAUGAUUGGCUUUGACUGUUUUAUAAUCUUUGGAUGCCAGUGGGCUUAUUAAGAGAAACCUUGAGCAAUGCCAAUCAAGUGUCAAUGCUUUUUAAUUCUUUAUGGCUUAAAGCUUAUUAGAUCCUAUAAAUUAUAUUUCACUAUGAAACUUUCAACCAAUGAAAUUUAUAUAUUUAUUUAACUUCUUUUCAUUUGAUGUGUUACAAUAUUUUUAUCUUUAAUUUGAUUUGUUGAAAUCAUUGUCCUUUUGUCUGUAUACAAAUUAGUUACUUUAAAAGACCUCUACACACAGACAAGAGGGCAGAUGAAAUUAGAGACACACAGACAAGGAGAUCGAAUGCCUUGUAUAUAAUUUGUAAAUAAUGUAUUUUUAAAACUGUAUAUAAAGUAAUAUUGAAAUGAA